GAGAGAUUUAGAAGAAGAAUUGAGAGACUCAAACUUCACCAUAGCAGAUGCGAAAGGAGGCUUUUCCAGACAGCUUCAGUGCAGGUCCAGAAGGCGAUGGCUGUGAUGCCAACACAGUUGGACUAUAUCCAUGAGGAGCCAGAGUGGGAUUCCUUUGGAUCCGAAUUAUAUAGCCAUACAGGAUCGGACCUAGAGUACAAGCCAACUCACACUGCAUCAUCAUCCAGUGAUGAGGAAGAUUUGAAAAGCCGAGACAAACACAAGAACCUCAGAACUUAUGUGAAAAGACAAAAAAAACAAAAGACGAACAAAACAAAAUCAACUGUGACCAUAAAAACUUGUA